CGUGUAGGCGGUCGGUCAAGUCCGGUGUGAAAGCCCGGAGCUCAGCUCCGGAAGUGCAUCGGAAACUAGCCGACUAGAGCGCGAUAGAGGAGGGUGGAAUUCCUGGUGUAGCGGUGAAAUGCGUAGAUAUCAGGAGGAACACCGGCGGCGAAGGCGGCCCUCUGGCUCGUUGCUGACGCUGAUACGCGAAAGCGUGGGGAGCAAACAGGAUUAGAUACCCUGGUAGUCCACGCUGUAAACGAUGGGUACUAGGUGUUCGGGGUGUUGACCCCCUGAGUGCCGACGCUAACGCAUUAAGUACCCCGCCUGGGGACUACGGCCGCAAGGCUAAA
rnacentral:rRNA from 1 species